UGCCUCAGUAGCGGCGAGUGAAGCGGCAAGAGCUCAGAUUUGGAACCCGGCGCGUUAUCGCUCCUGGAUUGUAAUCUGAAGAGGAAGCCCCCUGCAAGGGAGUGCGCCCAAGUUCCUUGGAACAGGACGUCUGAGAGGGUGAGAACCCCGUACCUGGCGUACCUCCCGCGCGCUGUGGGGCUCCUUCGACGAGUCGAGUUGUUUGGGAAUGCAGCUCAAACUGGGUGGUAAAUUCCAUCUAAAGCUAAAUACCGGCGGGAGACCGAUAGCGCACAAGUAGAGUGAUCGAAAGAUGAAAAGCACUUUGAAAAGAGAGUUAAAAAGUACGUGAAAUUGUUGAAAGGGAAGCGCUUGCCAUCAGAACCGGGCCCGGCCGAUCAGCGUUCCUUCUGGUUCGUGCACUCGGCCGGCGCCCGUGCCAGCAUCGGUGGCCGCGGCGGGACAAAGGCGGCGGGAACGUGGCUCCCCCCGGGGAGUGUUACAGCCCGCCGCGCAAUGCCGCCAGCCUGGCCACCGAGGACCGCGCUUCCGCAAGGAUGCUGGCCUAAUGGUUGUAAGCGACCCGUCUUGAAACACGGACCAAGGAGUCUAACAUCUACGCGAGUGUUCGGGUGGAAAACCCGCGCGCGAAAUGAAAGUGAACGGAGGUGGGAGCCUCGGCGCACCAUCGACCGAUCCUGAUGUCUUCGGAUGGAUUUGAGUAGGAGCGUAGCUGUUGGGACCCGAAAGAUGGUGAACUAUGCCUG
rnacentral:rRNA from 1 species